rnacentral:rRNA from 1 species
GGGGGAUUAGUGGCGAACGGGUGAGUAACACGUGAGUAACCUGCCCUUGACUCUGGGAUAAGCCUGGGAAACUGGGUCUAAUACCGGAUACGACCAUCUGGCGCAUGUCAUGGUGGUGGAAAGCUUUUGUGGUUUUGGAUGGACUCGCGGCCUAUCAGCUUGUUGGUGGGGUAAUGGCCUACCAAGGCGACGACGGGUAGCCGGCCUGAGAGGGUGACCGGCCACACUGGGACUGAGACACGGCCCAGACUCCUACGGGAGGCAGCAGUGGGGAAUAUUGCACAAUGGGCGCAAGCCUGAUGCAGCGACGCCGCGUGAGGGAUGACGGCCUUCGGGUUGUAAACCUCUUUCAGUAGGGAAGAAGCGAAAGUGACGGUACCUGCAGAAGAAGCGCCGGCUAACUACGUGCCAGCAGCCGCGGUAAUACGUAGGGCGCAAGCGUUAUCCGGAAUUAUUGGGCGUAAAGAGCUCGUAGGCGGUUUGUCGCGUCUGCUGUGAAAGACCGGGGCUCAACUCCGGUUCUGCAGUGGGUACGGGCAGACUAGAGUGCAGUAGGGGAGACUGGAAUUCCUGGUGUAGCGGUGAAAUGCGCAGAUAUCAGGAGGAACACCGAUGGCGAAGGCAGGUCUCUGGGCUGUAACUGACGCUGAGGAGCGAAAGCAUGGGGAGCGAACAGGAUUAGAUACCCUGGUAGUCCAUGCCGUAAACGUUGGGCACUAGGUGUGGGGGACAUUCCACGUUUUCCGCGCCGUAGCUAACGCAUUAAGUGCCCCGCCUGGGGAGUACGGCCGCAAGGCUAAAACUCAAAGGAAUUGACGGGGGCCCGCACAAGCGGCGGAGCAUGCGGAUUAAUUCGAUGCAACGCGAAGAACCUUACCAAGGCUUGACAUGAACCGGAAAGACCUGGAAACAGGUGCCCCGCUUGCGGUCGGUUUACAGGUGGUGCAUGGUUGUCGUCAGCUCGUGUCGUGAGAUGUUGGGUUAAGUCCCGCAACGAGCGCAACCCUCGUUCUAUGUUGCCAGCGCGUUAUGGCGGGGACUCAUAGGAGACUGCCGGGGUCAACUCGGAGGAAGGUGGGGACGACGUCAAAUCAUCAUGCCCCUUAUGUCUUGGGCUUCACGCAUGCUACAAUGGCCGGUACAAAGGGUUGCGAUACUGUGAGGUGGAGCUAAUCCCAAAAAGCCGGUCUCAGUUCGGAUUGGGGUCUGCAACUCGACCCCAUGAAGUCGGAGUCGCUAGUAAUCGCAGAUCAGCAACGCUGCGGUGAAUACGUUCCCGGGCCUUGUACACACCGCCCGUCAAGUCACGAAAGUUGGUAACACCCG